ACAGAUGUAGUUCAAAGGUAGAAUAGCGGUCUCCAAAACCGUUGGUGGUGGUUCAAUUCCAUCCAUCUCUGUA